CGCGGGCCGCCGGGCCGGGGUCGCCGCCCGGGCUCGGUCAGUCGGUACCUUCAUGAAGGUCUCUACCGCGCCUUUGGCCGUGUCCAGCCUCGUCCCAAAUGCCGUGGGAGGGAAGGCACUCUCUGUCAAGCUGCUGUCACCUUACCUGAAGUAAGGAGUCCACGCCUGCAUGUCCGAGGAAAACAGUUUUCUCAAACACAUUAGUUGAAAAACUGAAGACGCUGCCUAAAAUACAAGCUGAGUUAGAGACAGCCCUUGUAAGACUAGAAAAAGAAAUGGAAACUAAGUAACAUGAAUUAACAUAGUCCAGGGUCACAAAGCAACAUGGAACAAGAACCUGGAUCUGAAUUCAGAGGCAGAAUGCUGGAAUCUAAGCCAGAAUGAGGUUACUGCCUAGGCAAAGAAGAAGACAGCUCAUCACAGGCCUGAGAAUCAGGAGAGUCAAUGGUAUUAGUGCUUGUCCGGAAGCCAUCAUGCUUCAAAACCAAGAAGAGCUGAUUUUCCAGUUGGAGUCUAAAGGAAAGGCCUUGUGAGGACAUAACCAGGAAGAGAGUCCUCACCAGAACCUGACCAUACCUGCACCCUGAUCUCAAGCUUCCAGCUUCCAGAACCAUGAGAAAUCAAUGUUUGUUGUUUUAGCCACCCAGUCUACAGAAAUUUGUUAUAGCCACCCUAGCUGACUACCACAUUGGACAUCACAGC
rnacentral:lncRNA from 10 species